UGAAGCGGAGUCGGUGAAGCAGGGAGUCAAGGUGCCACCACCUGUUGCAAGGAAACCCAAAGCGAAGGGCAAAGAGAAUGAGACCAGUGAAGAGACAGAGCAAACUGCAGGACAGGAAGCACUGCAAGAGAGUAUCGAGGAUGCUGCAGAGAUAACAAAUGGGACAGCAGGUACUGUUGAAGGAGGUAUGACAUGAUUGUAAAGACUGAAGGAGACCUGGGAAGGACUUACCAAUAACACUGAAUUUGCUGCAAGUUGGUCUUUGUGUUUGAAAGAAAAACUGGAUUUGGAUAGAUGAGAUGCUUAUUUCAAAGAUUUUAAAGAAAAUCCUUUGACUUUGAUGUUAAUGGUGUGGGUCUUAAUUUUCUCACGUACUAAUUUUGCAUUUUACUAAGAGUGAAUAAAGCAUAUUUUCUUUUGCA